AGCAACAAAUGCCCUGCUUCCAGGAAAAGCCUCUAAGCAUCAGGUAACAUCAAAUCGUACCCCAAACCGACACAGGUGGUCAGGUAGAGAAUACCAAGGCGCUUGAGAGAACUCGGGUGAAGGAACUAGGCAAAAUGGUGCCGUAACUUCGGGAGAAGGCACGCUGACACGUAGGUGAAGUGAUUUACUCAUGGAGCUGAAGUCAGUCGAAGAUACCAGCUGGCUGCAACUGUUUAUUAAAAACACAGCACUGUGCAAACACGAAAGUGGACGUAUACGGUGUGACGCCUGCCCGGUGCCGGAAGGUUAAUUGAUGGGGUCAGCGCAAGCGAAGCUCCUGAUCGAAGCCCCGGUAAACGGCGGCCGUAACUAUAACGGUCCUAAGGUAGCGAAAUUCCUUGUCGGGUAAGUUCCGACCUGCACGAAUGGCGUAAUGAUGGCCAGGCUGUCUCCACCCGAGACUCAGUGAAAUUGAACUCGCUGUGAAGAUGCAGUGUACCCGCGGCAAGACGGAAAGACCCCGUGAACCUUUACUAUAGCUUGACACUGAACAUUGAGCCUUGAUGUGUAGGAUAGGUGGGAGGCUUUGAAGCGUGGACGCCAGUCUGCGUGGAGCCGACCUUGAAAUACCACCCUUUAAUGUUUGAUGUUCUAACGUGGACCCGUAAUCCGGGUUGCGGACAGUGUCUGGUGGGUAGUUUGACUGGGGCGGUCUCCUCCUAAAGAGUAACGGAGGAGCACGAAGGUUGGCUAAUCCUGGUCGGACAUCAGGAGGUUAGUGCAAUGGCAUAAGCCAGCUUGACUGCGAGCGUGACGGCGCGAGCAGGUGCGAAAGCAGGUCAUAGUGAUCCGGUGGUUCUGAAUGGAAGGGCCAUCGCUCAACGGAUAAAAGGUACUCCGGGGAUAACAGGCUGAUACCGCCCAAGAGUUCAUAUCGACGGCGGUGUUUGGCACCUCGAUGUCGGCUCAUCACAUCCUGGGGCUGAAGUAGGUCCCAAGGGUAUGGCUGUUCGCCAUUUAAAGUGGUACGCGAGCUGGGUUUAGAACGUCGUGAGACAGUUCGGUCCCUAUCUGCCGUGGGCGCUGGAAGACUGAGGGGGGCUGCUCCUAGUACGAGAGGACCGGAGUGGACGCAUCACUGGUGUUCGGGUUGUCAUGCCAAUGGCACUGCCCGGUAGCUAAAUGCGGAAAAGAUAAGUGCUGAAAGCAUCUAAGCACGAAACUUGCCCCGAGAUGAGUCUUCCCUGAGACUUUGAGUCUCCUGAAGGAACGUUAAAGACGAUGACGUUGAUAGGCCGGGUGUGUAAGCGCAGCGAUGCGUUGAGCUAACCGGUACUAAUGAACCGUGAGGCUUAACCUU
rnacentral:rRNA from 1 species